GCGAGGAUUGCCAAGCUUGGUUAAAGGCGCAGGGCUUAGGACCCUGUCUCGCAGGAGUUCGCCGGUUCGAAUCCGGCUCCUCGCA
rnacentral:tRNA from 1 species